rnacentral:lncRNA from 13 species
AUGUAUAGUCUUGCAUCCACGACUAGUGAACCAUUCAGAUUUGUUCCAUCACUCUCACAAGUCCUCUUCACUUUCCCUUGUCAAACGUUCUGCUCUCCCCAGACCUUUCACAGCCACUCAUCUUUUCUUCAUGUCUAUGAUUGUGCCUUUUCCAGAAUGUCAGAUGGAUGGAAUCAUUCUGUGUGUGCCUGUAGACUUCAUGAUGUAGCUUUUUCCAGUAAUCUAACUGUAUGUAAGUUUCAACCAUGCAUUUGGUGACCUUGGAAACAUCCUGCUGAGAUGGAGAAACUAUGACUCAUUGUGUCUGCAUCCCUGAGCUUUCACCUGGAAGAGGCACCAACCUUGUGUGUGAGUAAAAGCUAAAUAUCUGUUUUGUUAUACCACUGAGAUUUGAGGGUUUGAUUAUUUGUUAUAGCACCAUACACUAUUUUACCCUGACUAAUAUAUUUUAAAGUAUGCUUAUAUUAAAAAAGUGAUUUAUAGAGGCUAGGCAGAAGGACUAAUGAAGAGCUGCCAGUGUUCUAAUUUUGUCAAUGAUCAGCUUAUGCUGAAGGCAUUAAGUGCUCUAGGCACAGGAAGUGUGUCUCCAAUUAUAGCAUAUGUUGGAUGGAGCAUAUUUACUUAUUGAAUAUUUAUUUAGAAUAUGCUGGAGACUUUAUAGAAAAGUGAAUAUGAAAUAAUGAAACCUUAGAUUUUGUAAAUGCUGAAAUGUGUAAUUUUAAUUCUACUUAUUAAAGUUAACUCUAUUAUAAAUGUGGCUAAAUUAUAUACCUUCUGCUUCUGGACAUCACUAGUCCCGAAUAUCCCAUCUUUUUUUCCAGAUUUCAGCACAGUAUAAGUCUGAUGAUUCCCUUUGGAAUCUUACAUUUGGGGAUGGACCUACUAUGAGUAUCACAAGUAAAUUCUCUAAUAAAAUAAUCAGUGCUUACA